ACGGAAGGCAGCAGUGGGGAAUAUUGCUCAAUGGGCGCAAGCCUGAAGCAGCGACGCCGCGUGAGGGAUGACGGCCUUCGGGUUGUAAACCUCUUUCAGCAGGGACGAAGCGCAAGUGACGGUACCUGCAGAAGAAGCACCGGCCAACUACGUGCCAGCAGCCGCGGUAAUACGUAGGGUGCGAGCGUUGUCCGGAAUUAUUGGGCGUAAAGAGCUCGUAGGCGGUCUGUCACGUCAACUGUGAAAACUCGGGGCUCAACCCCGAGCCUGCAGUCGAUACGGGCAGACUAGAGUUCGGCAGGGGAGACUGGAAUUCCUGGUGUAGCGGUGAAAUGCGCAGAUAUCAGGAGGAACACCGGUGGCGAAGGCGGGUCUCUGGGCCGAAACUGACGCUGAGGAGCGAAAGCGUGGGGAGCGAACAGGAUUAGAUACCCUGGUA
rnacentral:rRNA from 1 species